rnacentral:rRNA from 1 species
GAUGAACGCUGGCGGUAUGCCUAACACAUGCAAGUCGUACGAGAGUUUUUAACUCUAGUGGCGGACGGGUGAGUAACACGUGAGAAUUUGCCUUUAGGAGGGGGACAACAAUUGGAAACGAAUGCUAAUACCCCAUAUGCUUUCGAGUGAAAUGGAUUUUAUCCGCCUAGAGAGAAGCUCGCGGCUGAUUAGCUUGUUGGUAAGGUAAGAGCUUACCAAGGCGACGAUCAGUAUCUGGUUUGAGAGGACGAUCAGACACACUGGAACUGAGACACGGUCCAGACUCCUACGGGAGGCAGCAGUGGGGAAUUUUCCGCAAUGGGCGAAAGCCUGACGGAGCAAUCUCGCGUGAGGGAUGACGGCCUAUGGGUUGUAAACCUUCUUUUUCAGGGAGGAACAAAAUGACGUGUACCUGAAGAAUAAGCAUCGGCUAACUCCGUG